rnacentral:siRNA from 1 species
GAGGUUCCUCGACACAGACAAGAC